GACGAACGCUGGCGGCGUGCUUAACACAUGCAAGUCGAACGAAGAGCGAUGGAAGCUUGCUUCUAUCAAUCUUAGUGGCGAACGGGUGAGUAACGCGUAAUCAACCUGCCCUUCAGAGGGGGACAACAGUUGGAAACGACUGCUAAUACCGCAUACGAUCUAACCUCGGCAUCGAGGAUAGAUGAAAGGUGGCCUCUACAUGUAAGCUACCACUGAAGGAGGGGAUUGCGUCUGAUUAGCUAGUUGGAGGGGUAACGGCCCACCAAGGCGAUGAUCAGUAGCCGGUCUGAGAGGAUGAACGGCCACAUUGGGACUGAGACACGGCCCAGACUCCUACGGGAGGCAGCAGUGGGGAAUCUUCCGCAAUGGACGAAAGUCUGACGGAGCAACGCCGCGUGAGUGAUGACGGCCUUCGGGUUGUAAAGCUCUGUUAAUCGGGACGAAAGGCCUUCUUGCGAAUAGUUAGAAGGAUUGACGGUACCGGAAUAGAAAGCCACGGCUAACUACGUG
rnacentral:rRNA from 1 species